rnacentral:rRNA from 1 species
CGUCUAUAUACGUAUAGCAUAUCAAUAAGCGGAGGAAAAGAAACUAACUAGGAUUCCCUCAGUAACGGCGAGUGAAGCGGGAAGAGCUCAAAUUUGAAAUCUUCAAGGUUUUACCUUGACGAAUUGUAGUUUAAAGAAGUGUUUUCUGUUGGAGUUUUGGUAUAAAGUUCCUUGGAAUAGGACAUCAUAGAGGGUGAGAAUCCCGUACUGACCAUUAUUCCAGCUUUGUGAUACACUUUCAAAGAGUCGGAUUGUUUGAGAAUGCAGUCCAAAAUGGGUGGUAAAUUUCAUCUAAAGCUAAAUACUGGCGAGAGACCGAUAGCGAACAAGUACCGUGAGGGAAAGAUGAAAAGAACUUUGAAAAGAGAGUUAAACAGUACGUGAAAUUGUCAAAAGGGAAGCGUUUGACACCAGUGUUGUUUUCUCGAAAAUCAAUUAAAAAAGACUGGAUUUUGUGUUGUAAGGGACCUUAUCAGCGUUUCUGCACUCUUUUCUUGUCCUUUUUAAUGCACUUUUCGUUUAACAAGUCAACAUCAAUUUCUUUUGUUGUAAAAGGGUCAUUGGAAGGUGGCCUUCUUUUCGGAGAAAGUGUUUAUAGCCUUUGGCCUCUGCAAUCGGAGAGAUUGAGGUCUGCAGCGUAGAUCCUUCGGGGUUAGAUAGCAUUUAGUGCUAAGUUAUAGUCCUUUCAUAGACAACUUGUUGACUAUGAUCAGUCAUGUAGCUUACUCGCUUAUGCUAUUUUACCUACGCUUAGGAUGUUGAAGUCAUCGUAUCGCGC